CCUACGGGUGGCAGCAGUGAGGAAUAUUGGUCAAUGGGCGCGAGCCUGAACCAGCCAAGUCGCGUGAGGGAAGACGGUCCUAUGGAUUGUAAACCUCUUUUGUCGGGGAGCAAAAGACGCCACGCGUGGCGUUCCGAGAGUACCCGAAGAAAAAGCAUCGGCUAACUCCGUGCCAGCAGCCGCGGUAAUACGGAGGAUGCGAGCGUUAUCCGGAUUUAUUGGGUUUAAAGAGGUUGUAGGCGGCAUGGAAAGUCAGGUGGUAAAGGGGCAGGCUCAACCUUUGUAUGGCACUUGAUACUUGCAAGCUGGAGUGCGGUAGAGGUAAAGGGAAUUCCUGGUGUAGCGGUGAAAUGCUUAGAUAUCAGGAGGAACAUCGGUGGCGUAAGCGCUUUACUGGGCCGUAAUUGACGCUGAGGAACGAAAGCCAGGGUAGCAAAUAGGAUUAGAUACCCUUGUAGUC
rnacentral:rRNA from 1 species